AAAACCAUUACUCGGAUAAAGGGGUAGUUACUGCAUAUAGCCCAAGACCUAAAAGCCGUCUUCUUGCAAUCAAAGAAAUUUGUGUGUGGUCACGGAACAAAACCAAAACGAUCAGCGCUCUUCUUACGUGAGUAUAGUCGUUUCGGACAGCAGCGGUUUCCCCCUCCUCCUUGCGAGGCAGCGGUGCGUCAUCGUUCAGCCCGAGCUAUCGCGCGCGAGGACUUACAGGGAAGUGCGUGGCCCAGUGCACGAUCUCGGACCCCGUGGUGGCGUCUCGGUCCACCACCUCCAGCUUGAUCACCAGGGCGUCCCACUUCUUCCGGUACUCAGUGUCCAGCUGGAUCAACACGGGGGAAGGGACAGUGAGGCGGGGCCAGAGGGAGACAGGGUCCGCCCCUGCGCACAAACCCCGCCCCCGCACACAGACACAAGCAGCAGGGCUGUGCACCGCAGACAAAA